UACAGAGGGUGCGAGCGUUAAUCGGAGUUACUGGGCGUAAAGGGCGCGUAGGCGGUUGUUUAAGUGAGAUGUGAAAUCCCUGGGCUUAACCUAGGAACUGCAUCUCAUACUGGACAGCUAGAGUAUUGUAGAGGGUAGUGGAAUUUCCGGUGUAGCGGUGAAAUGCGUAGAGAUCGGAAGGAACACCAGUGGCGAAGGCGGCUACCUGGACAAAUACUGACGCUGAGGCGCGAAAGCGUGGGGAGCAAACAGG
rnacentral:rRNA from 1 species